AUUGAACGCUGGCGGCAGGCUUAACACAUGCAAGUCGAGCGGGGGAAGGUAGCUUGCUACCGGACCUAGCGGCGGACGGGUGAGUAAUGCUUAGGAAUCUGCCUAUUAGUGGGGGACAACAUCUCGAAAGGGAUGCUAAUACCGCAUACAUCCUACGGGAGAAAGCAGGGGAUCUUCGGACCUUGCGCUAAUAGAUGAGCCUAAGUCGGAUUAGCUAGUUGGUGGGGUAAAGGCCUACCAAGGCGACGAUCUGUAGCGGGUCUGAGAGGAUGAUCCGCCACACUGGGACUGAGACACGGCCCAGACUCCUACGGGAGGCAGCAGUGGGGAAUAUUGGACAAUGGGGGGAACCCUGAUCCAGCCAUGCCGCGUGUGUGAAGAAGGCCUUAUGGUUGUAAAGCACUUUAAGCGAGGAGGAGGCUACUUUAGUUAAUACCUAGAGAUAGUGGACGUUACUCGCAGAAUAAGCACCGGCUAACUCUGUG
rnacentral:rRNA from 1 species